rnacentral:rRNA from 1 species
ACGAACGCUGGCGGCGUGCCUAAUACAUGCAAGUCGAGCGGAAUGAUGAAGAAGCUUGCUUCUUCUGAUUUUAGCGGCGGACGGGUGAGUAACACGUGGGCAACCUACCUUGUAGAUUGGGAUAACUCCGGGAAACCGGGGCUAAUACCGAAUAAUCCAUUUUGCUUCAUGGCGAGAUGUUGAAAGACGGUUUCGGCUGUCACUAUAAGAUGGGCCCGCGGCGCAUUAGCUAGUUGGUAGGGUAAUGGCCUACCAAGGCGACGAUGCGUAGCCGACCUGAGAGGGUGAUCGGCCACACUGGGACUGAGACACGGCCCAGACUCCUACGGGAGGCAGCAGUAGGGAAUCUUCCACAAUGGACGAAAGUCUGAUGGAGCAACGCCGCGUGAGUGAAGAAGGUUUUCGAAUCGUAAAACUCUGUUGUAAGGGAAGAACACGUACGAGAGUAACUGCUCGUACCUUGACGGUACCUUAUUAGAAAGCCACGGCUAACUACGUG